ACUCAGGUGUUGUUGGGUAGGGGAGCGUUCUGUAAGCCUGUGAAGGUGGCCUGUGAGGGUUGCUGGAGGUAUCAGAAGUGCGAAUGCUGACAUAAGUAACGAUAAAGCGGGUGAAAAGCCCGCUCGCCGGAAGACCAAGGGUUCCUGUCCAACGUUAAUCGGGGCAGGGUGAGUCGACCCCUAAGGCGAGGCCGAAAGGCGUAGUCGAUGGGAAACGGGUUAAUAUUCCCGUACUUGGUGUUACUGCGAAGGGGGGACGGAGAAGGCUAUGUUGGCCGGGCGACGGUUGUCCCGGUUUAAGCGUGUAGGUGUGUGUUCCAGGUAAAUCCGGUUCACUUUAACACUGAGGCGUGAUGACGAGGCACUACGGUGCUGAAGCAACAAAUGCCCUGCUUCCAGGAAAAGCCUCUAAGCAUCAGGUAACAUCAAAUCGUACCCCAAACC
rnacentral:rRNA from 1 species